rnacentral:hammerhead_ribozyme from 1 species
GUCCCGCUGACGAGUCCCAAAUAGGACGAAACUGACGUCCUAGAU